rnacentral:snRNA from 1 species
GUGCUCACUUCAGCAGCACAUCUACUAAAAUUGAAAUGAUACGGAGAAGAGUAGCAUGGCCCCUGCACAAGGAUGACAGAUUCGUGAGUCAUUCCAUAUUUUU